AAUAGGAAAAGUGAGAGUGGAAGAAAGAAAAAGCCAGCAUAGAAUGUGUUAAUGAGUGGAUUGUUGGGACUCACUUCUGCUGAGUAUCCUCUGACAAACUGUGAUGAAUAUGCUUCUGGAUAGUACUACUGAGAGAUGGGCAUUUUUUUCUCCACAAUUGCAGGUGAAGACACAAGCAAGCCAAGGAAAUAUUGAGUGCUUUAUCCAUUGUGUUGGCUACCGUCUACCUCUUGCACUGCUCAGAUAUGCUUACAUCCAAUACAGAUUCUGUCAGGCCUCUGAGCCCAAGCCAAGCCAUCACAUCCCCUAUGACUUGCAUGUAUACACCCAGAUGGCCUGAAGUAACUGAAGAAUCACAAAAGAAGUGAAUAUGUCCUGCCCCACCUUAACUGAUGACAUUCCACCACAAAAGAAGUGUAAAUGGCUGAUCCUUGCCUUAAGUGAUGACAUUACCGUGCGAAAGUCCUUUUCCUGGCUCAUCCUGGCUCAAAAAGCACCCCCACUGAGCACCUUGCAACCCCCACUCCUGCCCGCCAGAGAAAAAACCCCCUUUGACUGUAAUUUUCCUUUACCUACCCAAAUCCUAUAAAACAGCCCCACCCUUAUCUCUCUUUGCUGACUCUCUUUUCAGACUCAGCCAGCCUGCACCCAGGUGAAAUAAACAGCCAUGUUGCUCACGCAAAGCCUGUUUGGUGGUCUCUUCAAACAGACGUGCAUGAAAUUUGGUGCCCUGACUCGGAUCGGGGGACCUCCCUUGGGAGAUCAAUCCCCUGUACUUCUGUUCUUUGCUCCAUGAGAAAGAUCCACCUAUGACCUCAGGUCCUCAGACCAACCAGCCCAAGGAACAUCUCACCAAUUUUAAAUCAGUUUUUCAAGUGGUACCUGAGAUUCAGCACUUCUAAAAAGCUCCAAGGUGAUGAAGGUGCUGCUAGUUGGAGGCCAUACUUUGAGUUGCCAGAUGCUAAAAAUUCAACAGAUGGGAGUAGGAUUUAAUGGCAUCAAGAUUACAGCAAGAGUGUCGUCAAUGUCUGAGAGAAAAGGCACAGGACAAUUCAUGUAAUCUACUUUUUACCUCCUCACUAUGCCAGCAGCACACUUGGAGAGGAAUGUUAUAAUGGAAGAAGCUGCCCAGUCACUGAUUAAAAUGUAAGAAACUGUGCUCCAUUGCAGACAUCUCCUGUUAUGCGUUCAUGAGCAUAUAUGUGUUCUAGUAUGUGUAACCUUUAAGACAAUGAUGGAAUUUGAACCAUACUUUAGGACUGACACAGGUAAGAGAGUCUUGUAUUAAUAAGCUUCAAAAUAUUUUAUUGUAACUUAAAUUACCUCAGCAAUGAUACUGGGGUAGUCAGAAAAAAAAUUCACCUAAUUUUGAACUGAUUUUUUUUAAACUUUAGUAGCUUUGUGUUAGACAGAUAAUGUAAUCUGAGUUUCAAUUAACUUAUUUAUGGUAUGGUAGUAAAACUACCCUCUACACAGUGCUCUUGAUAGAGUUUUUAGAUAUAAAUAGUUUCUGUGGUGGAAGGAUUUGUUUUGCCAGUUGAGUCACAUGUAAUGUUUGACAAACAUAAGAAGAUAUUUGAGAUGAAAAAAUGAUGUUAUAUAAAGGCACAGAAAGAGAAAAUACAAGUUUGAUUGAAGUAGAGGGCUUAUAAAAGGAAAAUAAGUGUUAAAAGUGAGCUUUGGGGCAGAUUGUGGAGUGCUUCAUACAGAUUGGGAUCUAUAGGAGUCUAACUGGCUACUAGACUUCUUGAGACAUAAAAUGAUUGAUUUAACUGGAAGCAAUAUGCAUGUUAGAAGGGAGAAAAAACUUCUAACGGAGGUAGCAGUUCAAUUAGGAAGCUAUUAUUGUGGUAAAUGCAGCACUGGAUUGCAAGUGUUAGCUCUUAGUGUAUUUUUGACAAUGAUUGGUCUCUCAAGACUUUAGUUUCUUCGACUAUUAAGUAAAAGCAUUUACAUUAGAUGAAUUCUAUAAUUUGGUAUGACUUCUAAAUAUGACUCCUCCAUAAUAUGGACUUGAAUUUGAGUAGUGACAAUCCAAAGACAAUGGGAGAUAAAAAUGAAAAGCAAAUACUUUUGUUAUAGCAAGCAAACAACAGCAAAAAAACACAUGGAAACAAAAACUGUAAAACUUGGUUACUUACUGGGUAUAUGUUUUUGUCAUUUCACAAGAUAUUUUAAAGCAAAUACUUAGCUCAUAAAUUAUUGUUAAUUACUAAAUAUAUUUCUGAUAUUUUCAGUUUUUCCUUUUUCCUCUGCUUUCUUUUUCUUCUUUUUAAUAUCAUGUUUCCUCAAAAUUUCUUUCUGAACUAUAAACCAAUUUAGAAAAAAAUCUUAAAGUUUGCCUUUGGGCUGUGACUAGUAAUACAGGAGAAUUUUUCAGAAGUUUAUGAGAAGUGAAAAAGGGGUAAAAAGAACAAAAAAUAACAGACCUUACAUCCUCACCAAGUACUCCUGGGAUUUCAUGCAAUAUAAAAUAAUGUUAUAAGGGAAAAGCACGGAAGCAUUUAUAAAAGUUACGAAAUAGUAUUUUUGAGGAAGGAUGAUAAAAAUUUUACAAUAGUUCUUUUAUUUCAUGUGAAUUCUUUCUCAUUCAGAAUUUUGAUAACCUAAAGAUGAUUGUAUAUUUUGGCUUAAUCUCUGUAAAUGUAAACUCAGCCAAGUAAAAUAUAUAUCCUUUCACAUAAGCGUAGCCUCCCUUAAAUUUAGAAUAUUUAUCGUAAAGAAAUAUCAGAAGUAAAUAGAAUUUCUUUUCUAGAAUAAAGAAUACAGAGAUGGAGUGAAGUAAGUACAAAAUGCAUGAGUGAAUGAAGGAUGGACACCAUUUUUUUAAAAAAUGUAUAAGAGUGAUAUCUUUCACCCAUCCUCUGGGGAAAAAAGUGAAGAGAGGUGCUUGAGUGGUAGUAUGGUAGCUUUUUCUCUUGCCAUCACCAGCACAAGUGAAGAAAAGCCACAGUGUGUGUAACUGCUCUCUUAAGACUCUAUUCUCAGAAACUAAGAUUAGUUUACAAUGUAAUGCUUAUCAGUUUCUCUGUUUCCAACUUAAAACAAAGUAGAACUUAAAAAGACAAUUCUGGAUAAUUAACGUUAUUCUCUGGUGUAGAGCUUGAUACUUUUGCCUAAUUUUGAGAAAGUUUUGUUUGCCUUUUUCUCUUUCUCUCGGUCCUUCACUGAUUCAUUCUGGCAAUAUCAGCCUGAGGUAUAUGUUUUUCUGUCCUAUAAUUCAGGCAUUUCAUAAAAUUGUGGAACUCAGUGUUAUUCCAUUUUUUUCCUUAAUAGAUAUUUUUUCAGUUUUUGCUAUGUGCCAAGCACUGUAUAGGUGCUAGAAAUACAAAGGAAAAAGAAAGAAGGCAUCUCUUUUCUCAGCAGGAUUAACAUUCUAAAGGGUGAGACUGAAUCCAAGGAAGAAUUUUGUUGAUGAAAACACAAAAUGAAAAUUAAAUAGAAUCAAAAUUAACUAGUAAAUUAUUAU
rnacentral:lncRNA from 10 species